AAACUACCAAAGCAAAGUUUGAAAUAAAUAUUCUUGCAAAUAUAAAUUAAGCAAAUGUAAUAAGAUGAAAUGGAGUGAAUGGAAAAAGCCAAAUGCAUUAUAUUAUUUUCAUAGAAGUGUUUGUAGUAUUCUCUGAUGGUAGUUUGUAUUUCUGUGGGAUCGGUAGUGAUAUCCCCUUUAUCAUUUUUUAUUGCGUCUAUUUGAUUCUUCUUUCUUUUUUCUUUAUUAGGGGGACUUCUUGCCACUUUGUGGUGCCCCUGGUGUGAGAGACACUCAACCUUGGUGAAAGCCAGGGACUCCACAACCGCUCUGGG
rnacentral:lncRNA from 1 species